rnacentral:rRNA from 1 species
GAUGAACGCUGGCGGCGUGCCUAAUACAUGCAAGUCGAGCGAACGGACGAGAAGCUUGCUUCUCUGAUGUUAGCGGCGGACGGGUGAGUAACACGUUGAUAACCUACCUAUAAGACUUGGAUAAGUGCGGCAAACCGUAGCUAAGACCGUAUAAUAUUUUGAACCGCAUGUUUCAAAAAUGAAAGACGGUCUUGCUGUCACUUAUAGAUGGAUCCGCGCUGCAGUAGCUAGUUGGUAAGGUAACGGCUUACCAAGUCAACGAUGCAUAGCCGACCUGGGCGGGUGAUAGGCCACCCUGGAACUGGGACAGGGUCAAGACUACUACGGCAGGCAGCAGUAGGGAAUCUUCCGCAACGGGCGAAAGCCUGACGGAGCAACGCCGCGUGAGUGAUGAAGGUCUUCGGAUCGUAAAACUCUGUUAUUAGGGAAGAACAUAUGUGUACGUAAAUGUGCACAUCUUGACGGUACCUAAUCAGAAAGCCACGGCUAACUACGUG